ensembl:lncRNA
CAAGGGUUCUACCUAACCUCUAUUCCAACUGGUUCAGAGUUUCUAUUUUAAUAUUUAGAUCUUUAAUCCAUUUUGAUUUUAGUUUAGUGCAUGGUGAGAGAUACAGGUCUAGUUUUAAUCUUUGGCAAGUUGAAGCCCAAUUUUUCCAGCACCAUUUCUCAAAGAGGCUAUCUUUCCUCCAGUGAGGGUGUUUGGCUCCUUUAUCGAAGAUGAGAUGGCUGAGUGUGUCUGGCGUUGUUUCUGCAUCUUCUAAUCUGUUCCACUGGUCCUGAGGUCUGUUUCUUUGCCAGUACCGUGCUGUUUUUAUCACAGUAGCUUUGUAGUAGAGUUGCAGGUUGGAGAUUGUGAUAGCCCCUGCCAUGUCUCUGUUGCCUCAAAUUGCUUUUGCUAUUCUGGGUCUCUUCUUGUUCCAAAUGAAUUUUUGGAUUGUUUUCUCAAGGUCUAUGAAGUAUGCUGCUGGGAUCUCAAUUGGAAUUGCAUUAAAUCUAUAUAGCAGUUUUGGAAGUAUGGCCAUUUUCACUCUAUUAAUCCUUCCUACCCAGGAGCAGGGGAUGUCUGUCCAUUUUCUGAUAUCAUCUUCAAUCUCUCUUUUCAGAGUGCCAUAGUUUUCAGAGAAGAGGUCUUUGGUUUCUUUAGUUGGGAUGAUUCUUAGGUAUUUCAGUUUUGUGGAUGCCAUUGUGAAAGGAAUUAUUUGCCCUAUUACUCUCUCAGUGAGUCUGUCAUUCGUGUAGAGGAAAGCUAUUGAUUUUUGUGUGUUGACCUUGUAACCAGCUACUUGACUGAAUUGGGUUACUAAGUCUAGAAGACUUUUGGUGGCAUUCUUGGGGUCUUCUCUAUAGAGUAUCAUGUCAUCUGCAAAUAAUGACAGUUUCACUUCUUCAUUACCGAUCUUGAUUCCUUUUAUUUCUUUCUCUUGUCUAAUUGCCAUGGCUAAUGUUUCCAGAACUGUAUUGAACAAGAGUGGUGAUAGUGGACAUCCUUGUCUUGUUCCUGAUUUUAGUGUGAAGGAUUUCAGUUUUUGACCAUUUAGUGUGAUGUUGGCUGUUGGUUUUUCAUAGAUGGCUUCUAUCAGUUUGAGGUAGAGACCAUCUAUUCCAAUUUUUUGUAGGGUUUUAAUCAUAAAUGCAUGUUGGAUUUUGUCAAAUGCUUUUUCUGCAUCUAUGGAGAUAAUCAUAUGGUUUUUGUCCUUGGCUCUAUUGCUAUAGUGUAUUACAUUGAUUGAUUUGCAUAUAUUGAACCAUCCCUGCAUCCCUGGGAUGAAUCCCACUUGAUCAGGGUGUAUGAUCUCCUUGAUGAUCUUCUGCAUUCUGUUUGCCAUUAUCUUAUUAAGGAUUUUUGCAUUUCUGUUCAUUAGUGAGAUUGGCCUAUAGUUCUCUUUUUCAGUUGGGUCUUUCUCUGCUUUGGGGAUCAAGGUGAUGCUUGCUUCCAGGAAUGAAUUUGGGAGUAUUGCUUCCCUUUCAAUUUCAUUGAAGAGUUUAAACAGUAGUGGCAGCAGUUCCUCUCUAAAUGUCUUGUAGAAUUCAGCCAUCAGGGUGAAGCCAUCAGGGCCUGGG